GUGCCCGCACUGCACGGUUGGGGUUAUGUCCCCCACUGGCCCAGAGGUGGGACCGCUGCAGUCCUGGCCUCUUGCUAGCUCCGCGAUUGAAUCCUGACCCUGGUUUGUUCUGAAGAGGAAAGAGCGAUCUAAAGGUUCUGAGCACCUAGGGAGCCUUUGCCGGCAGUCUUCACGAGCAAAACGCGCGGGCCCUGGGAAGAGAACGGGCCUCUCACUGUGCAUGGGUGCCACGCGGCUCAGCCGGGACUGGGAACCCAGCCGGUCACAUGGAGGAUCAAAAUGCUUUGCAGCAAGGUCAGCUCCUCCUGCUGCCCCGCUUCUCGUUACUUCCAUGAGUGAAGUCUGACUUUUUAGGUGCGAGUUUGCAGCAACAUGACCUGGAGCGCCACCUGCUGGUCACAGCUGAAACGCUUGGGUUUGCAUGUGGGCCAUCACCCAGCACCUGACUGAGACCAGCAUCCUGGAGUUGGAGCUGCCUUCGGUUGUGGCAGGGAACAGGUUCCAGCCUGCAGGUGGUGACCCAGCCCGUCCUCAGCUCCAUCUACAAUUCCUCCCGGCCCUGCCCAGCAUAGCCCGAGCAGACCAUGGCUGCCGUCCUGUCCUUUGGAGGGCAAUGAAGAGGCCUGGUCACUCCAGCGCACUCCUUUGGGAGGUGGUGAUUAGAACCUUCUCUGGGGCUGGCUCAGUGACCUAGUGGUUAAGGGAGCUGGCUCCCACGUGGCUGCCCACAGUUUGACUCCCGGCCCCGGUGGC